rnacentral:lncRNA from 1 species
UGAGUCUUGGUUAACAAGCUAAAACUACUCAGGUGAUGGCUGUACAACAUUAGUUGUGAGCACAAGAUACCCUGUGAGAUACCCUUGUCUGACAGUGCAUUUGGGAGCAGCAGGGAAGGAGCUGGAGGGAAAGCCAUAUCCAAGCACUGGUGUAUCUGAAGCCUUCAGCAGAGUUAUCCAUUACUGGAUCUCACUUUGCAUUCCAGGCUUGCCUGAAGUACAGUUUCUCCCCAGCUAAAGCAUGCAGUCUCAUGGACAGAGGAUGAGGAUUGCAGCAUGUGGAGCUCAUUUGUCCCCAGAUGUCACCACUUCACAGAGGUGGAGGGACUGAGGGGACACCUCGCUGCCUCUCUGGGGCAGACAGCCUUCCUGACCACUGAAGUAAAGCAGCAGUUGUCAGGAGAGCGUGGAAAGAAGAUAUUUAUCGCAUUAGCCCUGCACGAUCAAGGAGAAGGCUGGCUGUUUGAGGAUGCUUUAUUAAUGAAUGCUAGAGGACAUCUUCACCCCUCCUAAGGUACGAGUGGCUCGUUACUGAAAAAUGCAGGGAGAUAAACAGCCAAGUCCUCUGUCUUCUGUGGCUCUUCAGUAGGUGUGUUACACUUGACAUACGUUAUUUAUGAGCCUCAGAUAGUGCCCAAGGCUAAACCUACCACUGCCAUUAAAAAAUAAAAGCCGAUGUUACCGACAGAGUGUUUCUGCUGCUGGUGGUUUAAUAACACGGGUGUCUUUCACGUGACUUGAAAGGCCCAAUGCGAAGUGCAUCAAAGGAGAGGAUAAUUUUUCUAUUGACUUCAAAGACGGAGCAGCCCUGCGGGGCGAUGCGCACUGCUGGGCUCGGGCAUCAGGCACCCACCUGACUGAAGCCUCCCCAGCAGCCUUGCAAAACACCACAUCCCCACCAAAAACACUUCCCCCUCCAGAAGCAAGCACCUAGCUGUGCUGCCAUCAGAGAAACCCUGCCUUAGGGAUAAAAAUGCCUUUCCUUCUUGCCCUCCAAAUCCUCCAAACCUUCCUCCCUCUCCACUGAGUUCAACUCCCACAUAGAAGAGGGGGGGAACCACCUCGCUAGCAAAUCCCACUCUGUGUUAAACUAUCAGAUGCAUUUAUACCCAUGGUGCUCCCAGUCCAGUUGUGGCUGACCGGAGGGCAAGCCUGCCAUUAGAGCCAUACAGUGACCCUAUCACCACUGUAUACCGUCAUACAGAACCUUUGUCACUCUAACCAAGGGGAGUAGAAGGGGCAGGAGAGAAUUGCUGGCAUCAGCCAAAAAAACCCUUGGCUCAAAAGCAAGCUCUCUGGUACAGGAAGGUGUCACAGAAUACAAGAUACCCUCCUGCAGUGGCUCCCUGAGCAAAACUGCUUGUAAAAUGAGUCUGCUGAGAGCACCCCCCACUCCUGGCGUGCUCUGGCUGCUUGCUGCCAACACAUUGCAGGCGCCCUGCAAAGUGCUGCUCACUUGCUCUGCAGUUGCUUGUGACAGCUUGGUUUGCAUGGGAAGAGGGAACGAAAGGGCUCUUCUGAAGAAGAGGAGCUUCCUGCAGCCCA